GACGAACGCUGGCGGCGUGCUUAACACAUGCAAGUCGAACGGCAAGGCACUGCUAUCGUGCGGUGCUCGAGUGCCGAUCGGGUGCGUAACACGUGAGUAACCUGCCCUUGAUUUUGGGAUAACUUCACGAAACUAGGGCUAAUACCGGAUAGGAGCUCCUGCUGCAUGGUGGGGGUUGGAACGUCUCGGCGGUUGGGGAUGGACUGGCGGCUUUCCAGCUGGUUGGUGGGGUAUUGGCUUACCCAGGCUUUGACUGGUAGCCGGCCUGAGAGGGUGACCGGCGACAUGAGGACUGAGAGACGGCCCAGACUCCUACGGGAGGCAGCAGGCGGGAAUAUUGCACAAUGAGCGGGAGCCUGAUGCAGCAACGCCGCGGGCGUGAUGACGGCUUGCGGGGUGUAAACCGCUGUCGCCUGUGACGAAGCGGGUGUGACGGUAAUGGGUAAAGAAGCACCGGCUAACUACGUG
rnacentral:rRNA from 1 species